rnacentral:tRNA from 1 species
AGGCGCGUAGCUCAAUUUGGUAGAGCACCGGUCUCCAAAACCGGCGGUUGGGGGUUCAAGUCCCUCCGCGCCUG